rnacentral:misc_RNA from 1 species
GUCAUUUCUUCUUGUUCUUCCUAUAUACUAGCAUAUGUGGUUUCAUUUGGGAAAUGUUAGAUAUGCUACUAUUGUUGUAGUGUCUUUUACGUUUUGGUCACAGAAGGGGUUAUGUUAGUUUCUUUGUUGCUAAUGGCCAGUUUCAAUUGUAUCAAUUUGAAUUAAGUUGAUUAUCAUUUACAUUAACUUGUUUAUUUUCCUUCUUUUCAAUGUGUAUGUUUAAAUGUUAUAUAAAGAAAAUGUUGGUGGAUUCAUAUAAAAAGUGUGAUGAAACAUGUGCUUUGCCAUUUUGUUUUGGGGUGGGCGUUUACAAUUCUUUUAUUUUACAUUUUCUUUUUAAUGUUUUGAUGGGUA